rnacentral:rRNA from 1 species
UGGAUGACUCUCGGCAACGGAUAUCUCGGCUCUUGCAUCGAUGAARAACGUAGCGAAAUGCGAUACCUGGUGUGAAUUGCAGAAUCCCGUGAACCAUCAAGUCUUUGAACGCAAGUUGCGCCCGAGGCCAUCCGGCCAAGGGCACGCCUGCCUGGGCGUCACGC